UAGGGUUUCAGCUCUUGACUGGUUCUUCAUCCGCCUCAUUUGUGGAUUGUGGUAAUGGCUGAAGAAGACAAUAGUGGAGUAACAGAGGCUCUGCCUCCUCCUCCCCCUAUUCCACCUGAUUUCUCUCCAGCAAAAGCGGAACCAGAGCCGGUGAAGAAAAAGGUUUUACGUGUUCCCAUGGCUAGGCGUGGCCUUGGAAGCAAGGGACAAAAGAUUCCGAUCCUUACCAAUCACUUUAAAGUGAACGUGUCUAAUGUUGACUGACACUUCUUUCAUUACAGCGUCGCCCUAUUUUAUGAGGAUGGUCGACCUGUCGAGGGAAAAGGAAUUGGCAGAAAAGUUCUUGAUAGAGUGCAUGAAACAUAUGAUACAGAAUUGGCUGGGAAGGAUUUUGCAUACGAUGGGGAGAAAAGCUUGUUCACCAUUGGUUCACUACCUAGAAAUAAAUUAGAGUUCACAGUUGUCCUAGAGGACGUCAUAUCUAAUCGGAACAAUGGGAACAAUGGCAACUCUAGCCCUGGCAGACAUGGAAGUCCAAUGAAAAUGAUAGGAAAAGAUUAAGGCGGCCGUACCAAUCAAAAUCUUAUAAGGUGGAGAUUAGCUUUGCUGCCAAGAUUCCGAUGCAGGCAAUUGCGAAUGCUUUGCGAGGUCAAGAGUCUGAGAACUCUCAAGAAGCAUUGAGAGUUUUGGAUAUAAUUUUAAGGCAACAUGCGGCCAAACAGGGUUGUCUGAUUGUUCGACAGUCCUUUAGUUUCCAUAAUGACCCAAAGAAUUUUGCGGAAGUUGGAGGUGGUGUUCUUGGCUGUCGAGGGUUCCAUUCAAGUUUUCGAACCACUCAGUCUGGAUUGUCUUUGAACAUUGAUGUGUCUACCACGAUGAUAAUCCAGCCUGGACCUGUUGUUGACUUUUUGAUUGCGAACCAAAAUGCAAACGAUCCCUUUUCACUUGAUUGGGCGAAGGCAAAACGUACCUUGAAGAAUCUAAGGGUGAAGACUGCUCCCGCUAAUCAAGAGUUCAAAAUAACUGGAUUGAGUGAAAAAUCGUGUCGCGAGCAGACGUUUACUCUAAAGCAGAGGAGCAAAAAUGAGGAUGGUGAAGUGCAAACAUCGGAAGUGAUAGUUUAUGAUUACUUUGUUAAUCAUCGUAACAUAGACUUGCGAUAUUCCGCUGAUUUACCGUGCAUCAAUGUUGGAAAGCCCAAGCGUCCCACCUAUUUCCCUGUCGAGCUCUGCUCGUUGGUCUCAUUGCAAAGGUACACAAAAGCCUUGGCCACCUUUCAGGGGUCCUCCUUGGUGGAGAAGUCUAGGCAAAAGCCUCAAGAGAGAAUGCAAAUUUUGAGCAAUGCUCUACAAAUCAACAAUUAUGAUGCUGAGCCUCUGCUUCGUGCUAGCGGCGUCUCAAUCAGUAGCAACUUCACCCAGGUUGAAGGGCGUGGUCUGCCUGCCCCUAAGUUGAAGGCAGGAAAUGGAGAUGACCUUCUCUCACGAAAUGGCAGGUGGAAUUUUAAUAAUAAGAGAUUCUUUGAUCCAGCAAAGGUAGAGCGUUGGGCUGUUGUCAACUUUUCUGCACGCUGUGACAUACGUGGCCUAGUCAGAGAUUUGACAAGAAUUGGAGAGAUAAAAAACACCUGA